GGGUCAGUAGGUUGGUCGUGCCACCGGUACGUACUGGUCUCACUGAUUCCUCCUUCCUGAAGAACCGUAAUGCCAUUAAUUUGGUGUUGCGGGGAAACAGGACUGUUACCUUGAAAAGAUUAGAGUGUUUAAAGCAAGCUAACGCUUGAAUACAUUAGCAUGGAAUAAUGAAAUAGGACGAUCGAUCCUAUUUUGUUGGUUUCCAGGAUUGACGUA
rnacentral:rRNA from 1 species